ensembl:lncRNA
UUUUUUUUUUUUUUUUGUCUUUUUGCCUUUUCUUGGGCCGCUCCCUGUGGCAUAUGGAGGUUCCCAGGCUAGGGGUCUAAUCGGAGCUGUAGCUGCUGGCCUACACCAGAGCCACAGCAACGCAGGAUCCGAGCCGCGUCUGCAACCUACACCACAGCUCAUGGCAACGCCAGAUCCCCAACCCACUGAGCAAGGGGAGGGAUCGAACCCGCAACUUCAUGGAUCCUAGUCGGAUUCGUUAACCACUGCGCCAUGACGGGAACUCCGAGCAAUUCAUUCUUACCAUGCUAUAUAAAAAUCAUUCAUGUUUCACAGUGGGUAUUAAAGCAUCACCUAUUGUAAGAAAACUAUUCUUGUGACUCCAUUAAUUUCCAGUCUAAGCCAUUCAAGCCUUUCCCCUGCUCCCAUCUUUCCCAUCUUUCCAUCUUAUUUUGAUGUGUCCCCAACACAUUAUGUGUAAUGUGUUUUCAGUUAGGAAGCAGAAGGAAUUUUUAUCUUAGAAAGUUAAAAAACAUUCUACGAGAAGUUUAUUGGAUUUCCUGGUUAUUUUAGGAAGACUAAAACCCAGUUAUUUCUCCCUUCCUCUAAAAAUAUCUAACUAGGUUAUAACUUGCGUGGUAAUUCCUACCAUUUGAAUAGUUUUUUAAAAUCCCUUUUAAGUAUCAAAUAUAAAGUAUUUGUACAUUAAAAGUUGGUUCAGCCAUCAUCCCAAAGCAAUCUUUAAACCUGGAAACUAGCCCUGUUGUCUACAUUUUAAAGAAAAAUGCACAUUUAUUUCAGCCUUCAAAUAUUUAUUGUCAAAUAAUGUUGAAAUAUUUUGAUUUGUAUUAUUAGGGAAACACAUUCUAUUCACGUGUAUGUUAAAUCUAGCAAAUUAGUGUAUAUGCCUCUACAGUACAGCCACUUUAUGCUUACUCUCAGCAUUUGUGGCACAAUUCUCAGAGGACUGAAAAGUGUGCUAUUUUUCUUUUUCUUGUAAUUCCAAGGCUAUUGCUCUUUGGGGUUUGAAGUGGCCAUUAUUUACAUAUUAACAAAACCUAGCCUUUUUAUGGUUCUAUAACAUGAAGUAUGCUAAAUAUAAUUAGACAGAAAAAGAGGCAAACAUACUUUUUAACAAAUAUGCAAUUUGUUUUUACAUUGCAGAGAUUUUUUUUUAAAAAAACAUGGUAGUAGCAAUUUUUUCAGCGAGCCGAUGACCACUGCAUUGUCAAAGCAUAGAAGAUGCUUGGCAUUCUUCAAGCAAUGCUUCAGUAAUUAAUUUCUGAAUAUUGAUCCACUUAAGAAAAGGCAAUUAGUGGUGAAAAUGACUUAAAAAAGGUCCAUUGCAACCUAAGUAACAGUUCAUCCUACUCUUCAUCAAAGUAACCAUUCAUCUUACUGGUGAGGUACAAUGAAUUUCAACUUGACCCUCAGCAGAAAGACUUUGAGUCCAGGUUACCCUGGAAGGGACCUUGACUAAAAGUCAUUGAGUAAAUUUGCCUUUGAGUUUACAACCAACUUAUAAAUAGCCCAUGUACAAACAGACUCAGGCCAGGAUCUCCGCUUGGAAGGUACUUUGGGAGUGUGUGGGGAGAAAGGGCUGGAGGCUGUGAUCAACAAGAAUAAUUUGGGUGUCUGACUCAGUUUUCUAGACCUCUUCUCAUGGCCUAAUUUUUUCUCCCUUUGUCAGAAGUCUAUUUACUAGAAAUUGAUGGGAGUAAGAAAGCAAACUGGUUUUUGGUUUUGUUUUUCUUUGCACUUUUUAGGGCUGCAGGUAUGGCAUAUGUAAGUUCCCAGGCUAGGGAUUGAAUUGGAGCUGCAGCCGCCAGCCCAUGCCACAGCCAGCAGAUGUAGCUCUGAUUAGACCCCUAGCUUGGGAACCUCCAUAUGCCAAGGGUGCAGCCCUAAAAAAAAGCAAAAAAGGCAAAAAAAGCAAAAAAAAAAAAAAAUUGAGGAAUGACAUGAUUGGAGCAGUACUUCAGGAAGAAUGAUCUGAUGCUGAGAUCUGGGCUAAAUAUGAGUGGGGAGAAAAAGCAGGACAAGAGGCAGGAAGAACAAUUAGAAGUCUCUUAUGGUUGAAGUCAGCAGUAUUGAGGGAAAUUAAGAAAUUAAUGAAAGUUUGAACUGGGGAACCACAGGGGGACAGAAAAGAAUGCCUGAAUAUAAAAGAAUUAACAUGAUUUGUCAAUUGAUUAGAUAGAGGAGGCAAAAAAUGACUCGGAUACUUUUUAUCAGGAUUAUUAGGACUGUGCUGAUGCCAUUAAUAGAAAUCAUUAAACUAGGAGGAAGAAUUGUUUUUUACUUACUUAUUUUUGCUUUUUAGAGCUGUACCCGAGGCAUACGGAGAUUCUCUGGCUAGGAAGUGAAAUGGAGUUGCAGCUACUGGCCUAAGCCACAGCCACAGUGACACCAGAUCUGAGCUGUAUCUGCAGCCUACACCACAGCUCAUGGUUAUGCUGGAUCCUUAAGCCACUGAGCAAGGCCAGGGAUUGAACCCACCCACAUCCUCAUGGAUAAUAGUCAGGUUCAUUACUAGGGAAGAUGAUGAAUCUGAUUUGGGGUGAGUCCAUAUCCAGCAGAGCCAAAAUUUCUUACAUAAGUAUACAUUGUAAUUUAAUUUUCAAUAGAAUUUGAAUUUGUUCAACACAGUAGUUCUCAGCAAAGGGAGAUCGUGCCUCUCAGAAUAUAUGGGAAUGUCUGGGGACAUUUUGGGUAACUUGGGGAGGGGCUGCUCCGCUACUGACAUCUAGUGAGUAGAGGCCGAGGAUGCUGCUAAACAGCCUAUGGUGAGCAGGAUAGUCCUCCACAACAGCGAAUUAUCCAGCCCCAAAGGUCAGUAGUGCUGAUGUUGAGAAACCAUGCGGUAACAAUCCAAUAGUUCAAAUUCCAAGAAUGGUAAAGCUUGGUCUAUUUCAGGUUCGACAGUGCCAUCUAGUGGCCAAAUAUAAUAUUUAUCCUAGUUCUGUGUUGAACACUGUUAAGACAACAGAUAAAAAAUAUUGAGAAAGCUAAGACAUACAGAGAUGAAUCUCUCAUGGGAUAGCUGUCUAUAGUUGAAAUUAAUAUAUGUGACAAGGAGGUUUGGUGUCUGACUGUGGAAAAGCAAUCCUGCAGUUGGAAAGUGGUCUUUGGUUAUGAAGAGAUUUGAUAAUAGAAGCCAAUAUGGAAACAACACUUUUUACAGGAUGGAUUCUGCAUGGAAUGCAUUCUAUUUCAUAAUAGUUGCCUACACUUUUACUAUUAUUCCUGCACGCAUAAGAAAAGAAAAAAUAAUUCUGCUAAAUAACUGGCUGAAAUCUUUACGUCUUAGGGAUGUCACAUGGUAUUUUAUGAAAUAAAGAUUGAAAAUAAUGAAGAUGAUUUGAGUCAUGAAAAAUAUAUAAUGAAGACCACAGAAACUUCCCUUUGAUAAAGAAUAGAUUUUUGCCCCCAAAGCAGCACUCGACAUGCCUUAUCUCACCUCCCCCACUAGAUUGUAAGCUCCCUUCAGGCAGGGACUAUGUCUUAUCUGUGUAUGGACUAUAGUCUCCAGCAUGGCAUCUUAUACAGAGUAGACACACAAAUGAUUUUUUGAGUGAAUGAAUUUAUUUUUGUACCGGAAAUCCUUGCCUUGAAGUGAAGAAAGUCUCAAGCCUUUCUAAGCAAUUACUAUUUGUUCACUUAUGUAAGAUACCAGCUGAGGGUGCCUGGCUCAGAGAACACCAGAGACUUGAGCACAGAGAGUUGUUAACAGACACUCUCAUUCAUCUCCCUGGUGAAUCUGGAGCAAACUGUGCUGUGAUGACCAUUCCUGGGGUAAAUUUUUGACUGGUGCAUGCAUUGUAGAUUCUCUGAUAUAAGAUUUAUUCACCCAGCAAAUAUUUAUUGAAUGUCUGCUUUGUUCAAAGCACUCUUCCAGGUACUGGGAUAUCACAGUGAACGAAAGUCUAAAAAUUCCUUAAGCGGAGAGGCAGGUUUUUAAUUGCUGGGUUAGAAUAAAGAUGCACAUUCCCUGUUCCUCCCAUUUUCUCAGUUAGCAUAAUAUUUUCUGUAUAUAAAAUGCAAUUUGACUAAUGAUCUCAAAGCAGUUCACAACUAUGAAAGACCUCUC